AGAGUUUGAUCCUGGCUCAGGAUGAACGCUGACAGAAUGCUUAACACAUGCAAGUCUUUGGCGAAGCUGUGCUUGCACAGCCUAGCCAAGGCGGACGGGUGAGUAACGCGUAAGGAACUUGCCCUGCAGUCAGGGAUAACAGACGGAAACGACUGAUAAGACCUGGUAAAGUCAGGCGGACUCAUGUCCAGCCUGAUGAAAAGAGAUGCUGCAGGAGAGCCUUGCGUCCUAUUAGCUUGUUGGUGGGGUAACGGCCCACCAAGGCGAUGAUAGGUAGCCGGCCUGAGAGGGUGGACGGCCACAAGGGGACUGAGAUACGGCCCUUACUCCUACGGGAGGCAGCAGUGGGGAAUAUUGGACAAUGGGGGCAACCCUGAUCCAGCAAUUCUGUGUGCACGAUGAAGGUUUUCGGAUUGUAAAGUGCUUUCAGCAGGGAAGAAAAAAAUGACGGUACCUGCAGAAGAAGCGACGGCUAAAUACGUGCCAGCAGCCGCGGUAAUACGUAUGUCGCAAGCGUUAUCCGGAAUUAUUGGGCAUAAAGGGCAUCUAGGCGGCCAGAUAAGUCUGGGGUGAAAACUUGCGGCUCAACCGCAAGCCUGCCCUGGAAACUAUGUGGCUAGAGUACUGGAGAGGUGGACGGAACUGCACGAGUAGAGGUGAAAUUCGUAGAUAUGUGCAGGAAUGCCGAUGAUGAAGAUAGUUCACUGGACGGUAACUGACGCUGAAGUGCGAAAGCUAGGGGAGCAAACAGGAUUAGAUACCCUGGUAGUCCUAGCUGUAAACGAUGAUUACUGGGUGUGGGCAUGAAGAGUGUCCGUGCCGAAGCUAAUGCGAUAAGUAAUCCGCCUGGGGAGUACGGCCGCAAGGCUGAAACUCAAAGGAAUUGACGGGGACCCGCACAAGCGGUGGAGCAUGUGGUUUAAUUCGACGCAACGCGA
rnacentral:rRNA from 1 species